rfam:Fuerstia marisgermanicae strain NH11 chromosome, complete genome.
AGCGAUUCGUGGUCAACACGUUUCGUGAUCGACGGAAGUCAGCAGAGGUCGUAGUACUGUUUCGUCACACACCACUGACGACAGGAAGGAC